rnacentral:rRNA from 1 species
GAAAAGAAACUAANUAGGAUUCCCCCAGUAACGGCGAGUGAAGCGGGAAGAGCUCAAGUUUGAAAUCCAGCACCCCCGAGGGGUGCAGGAGUUGUAACCUAGAGGUGCGUGUUUGCCUGCCGGUGGGGCUGCGGCUAAGUCCGAUUUGAAAAGGGCACCAAGGAGGGUGGCAGUCCCGUUCGUGCCGUGGUCCUUCCGGCGAUGUGGCCCGCUUCCGACGAGUCGAGUUGCUUGGGAUUGCAGCUCAAAGUGGGUGGUAAACUCCAUCCAAAGCUAAACACGUGUGGGAGACCGAUAGCGAACAAGUACCGUGAGGGAAAGAUGCAAAGAACUUUGAAAAGAGAGUCAAAGAGUGCCUGAAAUUGCUGAGAGGGAAGCGAAGGAAAGUAGUGUCGAUCGAGGGGAUCUUGCACAUGGGGAACGGCUCGGUGGGCCCUCCCCGUUAUCCCCCGCGUUGUCAGGGGCGGGUGUGGUCAAGUCGGUGGCUGCGGCAUGCCAAGUAUAGGUUUUCCGAGGUAACAGCCGGAUGAAUGCUGUGUGUCAAUAUUAUUAUUAUUAUUAUAAUUAUUAGUGCCCCGCCCGCGGCC